CAAUAGCGUAUAUUAAAGUUGUUGCAGUUAAAAAGCUCGUAGUUGAAUUUCUGGUGGGCGCGCCGGUCUUCCAAGUGUUGUACUGGGCGCAGUCCGCCAUCCUUGUGGAGAGGGCUCGCAUUGAGUUGCGUGUCGGAUCUGCAUCAUUUACUGUGAAAAAAUUAGAGUGUUUAAAGCAGGCUGUCGCUUGAAUACAUUAGCAUGGAAUAAUAAGAUAGGACUUGGGUCUAUUUUGUUGGUUGCGAACCGAGGUAAUGAUUAAUAGGGAUAGUUGGGGGUAUUCAUAUUUAAUUGUCAGAGGUGAAAUUCUUGGAUUUAUGAAAGAUGAACAACUGCGAAAGCAUUUACCAAGGAUGUUUNCAUUAA
rnacentral:rRNA from 1 species